GGGCCCGCACAAGCGGUGGAGCAUGUGGUUUAAUUCGAUGAUACGCGAGGAACCUUACCAGGGCUUAAAUGCAGAAUGACAGAUUGGGAAACCAGUCCUUCUUCGGACAUUUUGCAAGGUGCUGCAUGGUUGUCGUCAGCUCGUGCCGUGAGGUGUCAGUUAAGUCCUAUAACGAGCGCAACCCCUAUCAUUAGUUGCCAGCGGGUAAUGCCGGGAACUCUAAUGAGACUGCCAGCGCAAGCUGCGAGGAAGGUGGGGAUGACGUCAAAUCAUCACGGCCCUUACCGUGCCUGGCUACACACGUGCUACAAUGGUUGGGACAAUGGGCAGCCACUACGCAAGUAG
rnacentral:rRNA from 1 species